rnacentral:lncRNA from 1 species
UGGUGGAGAAGGAGGGUGCUAAAAAAUAUUGCUAUGCGACUCUUUGAAAACACCGAUAAAAGAUCGCGAAGACUCCUUCUACUUUAAGUCUCUUAGGCACCACUUAUAUUAGAUAAUUUUUUGGUUUUUAAACACUUAAGGAAGGAGUUCACACAUGUAAAAAUUUGAAAAUAAUCUGAUCAAUGGAUAUAUGCUUAUCACAUCUUUUAUUUGGUGCGCGCGAGAGAAGAAUAAAAUGUUGUAUUUGAUAAGAGAGUUUCACCUGCAGAAGGACUCUUAUC